AGUUAAUGAGCUUGAAUAGCAAUUGUUUUGAAAACAAUAGAUAGAAUAUAAAUCAUUCUAUUAACUUUACUAAAAU
rnacentral:tRNA from 1 species